rnacentral:rRNA from 1 species
GUGUCAGCCGCCGCGGUAAUACGGAGGGUGCGAGCGUUAAUCGGAAUUACUGGGCGUAAAGCGUGCGUAGGCGGCCCGUUAAGUCAGAUGUGAAAGCCCCGGGCUCAACCUGGGAACUGCAUUUGAAACUGGCGGGCUAGAGUUGGGUAGAGGGGAGCGGAAUUUCAGGUGUAGCGGUGAAAUGCGUAGAUAUCUGAAGGAACACCAGUGGCGAAGGCGGCUCCCUGGACCCAAACUGACGCUGAGGUACGAAAGCGUGGGUAGCAAACAGGAUUAGAUACCCCCGUAGUCC